rnacentral:rRNA from 1 species
UAAGGAAUAUUGGACAAUGGAGGCAACUCUGAUCCAGCCAUGCCGCGUGAAGGAAUAAGGCCCUAUGGGUUGUAAACUUCUUUUAGACGGGACAAAACCCCUUUACGUGUAAAGGGUUGAUGGUACUGUCAGAAUAAGCAUCGGCUAACUUCGUGCCAGCAGCCGCGGUAAUACGAAGGAUGCAAGCGUUAUCCGGAAUUAUUGGGUUUAAAGGGUGCGUAGGCGGACUAAUAAGUCAGUGGUGAAAGCCUGCAGCUUAACUGCAGAAUUGCCAUUGAUACUGUUAGUCUUGAGUACAGUUGAGGUAGGCGGAAUGUGUCAUGUAGCGGUGAAAUGCUUAGAUAUGACAUAGAACACCAAUUGCGAAGGCAGCUUACUACAUAUAAAUUGACGCUGAGGCACGAAAGCGUGGGGAUCAAACA